rnacentral:rRNA from 1 species
GACGAACGCUGGCGGCGUGCUUAACACAUGCAAGUCGAACGGAAAGGCCCUGCUUUUGUGGGGUGCUCGAGUGGCGAACGGGUGAGUAACACGUGAGUAACCUGCCCUUGACUUUGGGGUAACUUCAGGAAACUGGGGCUAAUACCGGAUAGGAGCUCCUGCUGCAUGGUGGGGGUUGGAAAGUUUCGGCGGUUGGGGAUGGACUCGCGGCUUAUCAGCUUGUUGGUGGGGUAGUGGCUUACCAAGGCUUUGACGGGUAGCCGGCCUGAGAGGGUGACCGGCCACAUUGGGACUGAGAUACGGCCCAGACUCCUACGGGAGGCAGCAGUGUGGAAUAUUGCACAAUGGGCGGAAGCCUGAUGCAGCAACGCCGCGUGCGGGAUGACGGCCUUCGGGUUGUAAACCGCUUUCGCCUGUGACGAAGCGUGAGUGACGGUAAUGGGUAAAGAAGCACCGGCUAACUACGUG